UCUUAAAGAAAUAAUAGGAAUGAGCAAGGUGGGCAGGGAGGAGCAGGUGAAACCACACACACACACACACACAAAUUACUUGUUUCAAAAACAUACUAAUUUCAAAUCAGACUAUAUUCUAGGAGCACAGAUGGCCUCUCAGUAAGCUUCUUACCAUAGAAGAAAGUGUUGUUAAUUAGAAGUGCCCUUCCCCCUAUAUUGCAGACUACUUAUUUUGGGUAGGAUGGAGGGACUUUUUAGGAAGCUCAUGUGGUUGUUUUAGUCUCCAGAAGCACAUACUGGCCUGGCUUUGGGGACCAUGUGAUUCUUCAAUGACUCCUGUUGCUUCCAAGGCCACAGAGUCAGAGCCUACAUUUUGAUCUUGGACUUCUAGCCUCCAGAAGCAGGAGACAAUAAAUUUCUGCUUUGCAAGCCAUCCAGGUUGUGUUACUUUGUUGGUUUGUUAAGAAAUGAACGCAGGGAACUUUUCUCCUAUUCCAAGUCCAUAGAAUCCCUUUCCGAGUCUUCCUCCACUAUUGCCUAAAUCUUCCCCUUCUAAAAACUAUCCAAGACUCCUAUGGCCUAGACUCUGGGGUCUGCUGUUUUCUGCUUAAAGAUAUGUCAUUCAGAUUAACUUUUAUGCAGUACUUAAGAGUAUGGACUUUGAAGUCAAAUAAACUGAGUUCAAGUUAACUUGGGGAAACUUGCACAAGUCAUUCAACAUCUCUGAGGCUCAAGUUCCUUGUUCAUGAAAUAAGUUGAUCAUAAUAGCUAUUAUGUUUGGUAGUCAUAAAGAUUAAAGGAGAUCCUGCAAGUAAAAUGUUCAGCAUAGCAUAUGGCACAGUAACAAGCCAAUAAAUACUAGCUGGCAUCAGAUUAUUCUGAUUCAUAGCCUACUCUUGUCCAUAGCUCCUGUCAUCACCUUGGAUGACACUAAUGUAUAUGAUAUGUAUAUGAUACAUAUCAUAUACAUAUCGUUAUACGUAUAUAAUAUACAUAGCAUUAUAUGUAUAUAACAUACAUAUCGUUAUAUGUAUGUUAUAUACAUAUCAUAUCAUAUACAUAUUGUUAUAUGAUAUGAUAUGUAUACGUAUACAUAUACAUAUGUAUACGUAUACAUAUACAUAUGUAUACGUAUACAUAUACAUAUGUAUACGUAUGUAUACGUAUACAUAUGCAUAUGUAUACGUAUACAUAUGUAUACAUAUACAUACACAUAUACAUACGUAUACAUACACAUAUACAUACGUAUACAUAUAUACACAUACAUAUACAUAUAUACAUAUACAUACAUAUACAUACACAUAUACACAUACAUAUACAUAUACAUACAUAUACAAAUACAUAUACAUACAUAUACAAAUACAUAUACAUACAUAUACAUAUAAACAUACAUAUACAUAUAUACAGAUACAGAUAUAGAUAUACAUAUACAGAUACAGAUACAGAUAUACAUAUACAUAUACAUAUCAUUAUAUGUACAUGAUAUCAUAUCAUAUACAUAUCAUUAUAUGUACAUAAUAUGUAUAUGAUAACAUCAUAUACAUAUUAUAUCAUAUGUGUACAUAUCAUAUGUAUAUGAUAACAUCAUAUCAUAUACAUAACAUAUCAUAUACAUAUCAUUAUAUCAUACACAUAUCAUUAUAUACAUAUGUAUAUGAUAUAAUGUAUAUGAUAUGUAUAUGAUAACACCCAACACCCUAACUUCCCAGGUUCUUGAUCUUUUCCUUUCUGGUAACAUUUGCCUCUUCUACACUUCAGCUACACAGCAACUCCCUGGACCUUGUUAGAAAUGGCAUCACCUCUGGAAUAUCCCACUUAAGAAUCACCAUUUCCCUUCCUUUUUGUUUAAACAGCUAUGUUAGUUUAGGAACACUAGCUGCUGCAACAGACAAAACACAAAAUCCCAGUGCAAUAUGAAUUUACUUCUCACAAUAUAAAUUUUAUAUUUCUCACAAUAUAAACGUAUUUCUCAACCUCUUAAAAUUUAAACU
rnacentral:lncRNA from 1 species